CGGGAGUUAGGACUGCUAAAAUAGGAACUGUCACUAGGUGGCACCAGUCGCCCUAGCGUCGAGAGUGAGGCUGCUCACCGCUCUUCUUCGCAUCUAUGAGCUAAGAGAGCUUUGUCCGGCAAGGGAAAACAGACAUGAUCCGGAAGAUAUCGCUGCGAAUCACCGCCCCUUCCGCUGAACCUUUCCGUUUGUCUCCUUAGCACGAACUGCAAGGACUUCGGUGUCGAGGAAGAGCAAGCAACAAGAAUUCCCUUCUCGGGAAGGGUGCCACGACUGAGCAGACCCUGCUUGAGUAAUCACCAGUUUAUUUGUUUGAUUU
rnacentral:lncRNA from 1 species